rnacentral:rRNA from 4 species
UAACUGGAGGACCGAACCGACUAAUGUUGAAAAAUUAGCGGAUGACCUGUGGCUGGGGGUGAAAGGCCAAUCAAACCGGGAGAUAGCUGGUUCUCCCCGAAAGCUAUUUAGGUAGCGCCUCGUGAAUUCAUCUCCGGGGGUAGAGCACUGUUUCGGCUAGGGGGCCAUCCCGGCUUACCAACCCGAUGCAAACUGCGAAUACCGGAGAAUGUUAUCACGGGAGACACACGGCGGGUGCUAACGUCCGUCGUGAAGAGGGAAACAACCCAGACCGCCAGCUAAGGUCCCAAAGUCAUGGUUAAGUGGGAAACGAUGUGGGAAGGCCCAGACAGCCAGGAUGUUGGCUUAGAAGCAGCCAUCAUUUAAAGAAAGCGUAAUAGCUCACUGGUCGAGUCGGCCUGCGCGGAAGAUGUAACGGGGCUAAACCAUG